rnacentral:rRNA from 1 species
UGGGGAAUAUUGGACAAUGGGCGAAAGCCUGAUCCAGCCAUGCCGCGUGUGUGAAGAAGGUCUUCGGAUUGUAAAGCACUUUAAGUUGGGAGGAAGGGCAGUAAGCGAAUACCUUGCUGUUUUGACGUUACCGACAGAAUAAGCACCGGCUAACUCUGUGCCAGCAGCCGCGGUAAUACAGAGGGUGCAAGCGUUAACCGGAAUUACUGGGCGUAAAGCGCGCGUAGGUGGUUCGUUAAGUUGAAUGUGAAAGCCCCGGGCUCAACCUGGGAACUGCAUCCAAAACUGGCGAGCUAGAGUAGGGCAGAGGGUGGUGGAAUUUCCUGUGUAGCGGUGAAAUGCGUAGAUAUAGGAAGGAACACCAGUGGCGAAGGCGACCACCUGGGCUCAUACUGACACUGAGGUGCGAAAGCGUGGGGAGCAAACAGG